ACUUAGUAAUGAAGACAAUUUCUGCCCUGAGAAUCUGGAUGUUGACUUGAUCAAACUUAAUGAUGGAAAACACCUGAGACCAAUGAGCCCUGAACGAAAACUCCUGUGUCCUCCAGCUGUGGGUUCUGCCAAGUUGUGACCAAGGGUAAUCUGGAUUUCUUUGGGUCAAAGAUAAGGAUAAAUACCAAAGGACCAAGACAUGCACUGGAUGUUUGUUCUUCACCUGCUGCCUGUGCCUGUUUGUGCCUUCAGGACUCGUAGAGCUGAGGAUGGACAUGGAAUGAUGCCUUAUGAAACAAGUUUAAAGCGUUCUAAUAUGAGAUCUACCUCGUUUAAUUUUUCCUUGCAUCGCCUUUGGCUGUCCUCUGAAUUCUCUUCUCUUUGAGAUCUGUCCAUCUCUGAGUGCAGUGGUCACAACUGGACCCUGUCUCCCAGCUGAAGACUCCCCAGUGAAAACAGAGCAGAAAAAAUGACUUCCCUGACAUACAGAUGACACUGCCAAAGCCAGGCCCACUUAAGGUGCUUUGCUUGCAGCCAGGCCUUUGACUCCUGAUAAUUCCACCAUCACUGCCAUCCUCCCAGCACA